GCUCAUUUCAGCAAAACAUAAGCUAAAAUUGAUAUCAUACAGAAAAAAUUAACACUCCUGCAUGGAGAAGACAUGCAAAUUCAUGAUGUUGUCCACCUUUUU
rnacentral:snRNA from 1 species